AAUAUAAUAAAUUUAAGUAAAUAAAUAAAGUCCCAUAAUCAAAAUUUUAAUGAUUGAUACAUCCAACAAAAGUCCAACAAAAUUUAAUUUAUACGUCGUAUGCUUUAAGAAAACGGAUACUUCAACGCGGAGGGCCACGAACUUGGACAAAUUAUACCUACACCAAAUUAAAUGAUUAAGUAAGCAAAUACUCAAAUAAUUAAUAUAAAAAAAUAUAUAUAUUAAUAAUUAUUAUUUUUCUAGCAUAUCCGAGAAGGACCAUAGUCAUGGCAGCAUUAAAUGCUGCCUUGAUGAGUAAUAGACAUAAUGAAGGCUGCAUUAAUGAAGUGUGGAAAAAUUCUUCAUCAUCUGACACAUGGUAAUUAUUCUUUGCAAUAAUACUUGCAAGUUACAUCAUUUGCCAUCUUAUAUAAAUCGGUACAUGCACUUUCUUUCACCAUAAAACAUCACCAUCAUAUAUCCUAAUCAUCCCUUCACAAACCCCACAUAAUCCCUUCACACACCCCACAUACUAUUUCCUCUGCCACUCCAAUUCCACGUCGAACAGAGGAGUCCAAGGAGGAAGAUUUGCACACACUUGUAGAAUCAAGUCCCUAAUCCAACAACACCUCGUCCCCACAUAAAAAGGGUGCCUUCGCAAGUAAAGUUGGAGCGAUAAUUUCAAGUUAAAGGAACUAAAUGAUCCAGGUUGAGCAGCGAAGUGGUGGAGGAAGUGCUAUUGAGACAAG